rnacentral:rRNA from 1 species
UACGUAGGCAGCAACCGUUGUUCGGAAUUACUGGGCGUAAAGAGUGUGUAGGCGGUUCUGUAAGUUUGGUGUGAAAUCUCCUGGCUUAACUGGGAGGGUGCGCCGAAAACUGCAAGGCUUGAGUACUGGAGAGGAUAGCGGAAUUCCUGGUGUAGCGGUGAAAUGCGUAGAUAUCAGGAGGAACACCGGCGGUGUAGACGGCUGUCUGGACAGUAACUGACGCUGAGACACGAAAGCGUGGGGAGCAAACAGG